rnacentral:rRNA from 1 species
GACGAACGCUGGCGGCGUGCUUAACACAUGCAAGUCGAACGGAAAGGCCCUGCUUUUGUGGGGUGCUCGAGUGGCGAACGGGUGAGUAACACGUGAGUAACCUGCCCUUGACUUUGGGAUAACUUCAGGAAACUGGGGCUAAUACCGGAUAGGAGCUCCUGCUGCAUGGUGGGGGUUGGAAAGUUUCGGCGGUUGGGGAUGGACUCGCGGCUUAUCGGCUUGUUGGUGGGGUAGUGGCUUACCAAGGCUUUGACGGGUAGCCGGCCUGGGAGGGUGACCGGGGGCGAGGGGAGGAAGAUAGUGCACAGGCGGCAACAGGCGGCAGCAGUCGGGAAUCUUGCACAAUGAUCGCAAGCGGGAUGCAGAAGCCUGGCGGGCGUGAAGAAGGCCGUGUGGUGGUAAACAGCAAACACCCAUGGCGUAGCGUUAGUGACGGAACUGAGAGAAGAAGCACCAGGUACCGACGUG